rnacentral:rRNA from 1 species
AUGAACGCUGGCGGCGUGCCUAAUACAUGCAGGUCGAGCGAACAGAUAAGGAGCUUGCUCCUUUGACGUUAGCGGCGGACGGGUGAGUAACACGUGGGUAACCUACCUAUAAGACUGGGAUAACUUCGGGAAACCGGAGCUAAUACCGGAUAAUAUUUCGAACCGCAUGGUUCGAUAGUGAAAGAUGGUUUUGCUAUCACUUAUAGAUGGACCCGCGCCGUAUUAGCUAGUUGGUAAGGUAACGGCUUACCAAGGCGACGAUACGUAGCCGACCUGAGAGGGUGAUCGGCCACACUGGAACUGAGACACGGUCCAGACUCCUACGGGAGGCAGCAGUAGGGAAUCUUCCGCAAUGGGCGAAAGCCUGACGGAGCAACGCCGCGUGAGUGAUGAAGGUCUUCGGAUCGUAAAACUCUGUUAUUAGGGAAGAACAUACGUGUAAGUAACUGUGCACGUCUUGACGGUACCUAAUCAGAAAGCCACGGCUAACUACGUG